UACAGAGGUCCCAAGCGUUGUUCGGAUUCACUGGGCGUAAAGGGUGCGUAGGUGGCGAGGUAAGUCGGAUGUGAAAGCUCGGAGCUCAACUCCGAAAUGGCAUUGGAAACUACCUUGCUCGAGGGUUGGAGGGGGGACUGGAAUUCUCGGUGUAGCAGUGAAAUGCGUAGAUAUCGAGAGGAACACCAGUGGCGAAGGCGAGUCCCUGGACAAUACCUGACACUGAGGCACGAAAGCUAGGGGAGCAAACAGG
rnacentral:rRNA from 1 species